rnacentral:rRNA from 1 species
ACUGGCUCAGGAUGAACGCUGGCGGCGUGCCUAAUACAUGCAAGUCGAGCGAAUGGAUUAAGAGCUUGCUCUUAUGAAGUUAGCGGCGGACGGGUGAGUAACACGUGGGUAACCUGCCCAUAAGACUGGGAUAACUCCGGGAAACCGGGGCUAAUACCGGAUAACAUUUUGAACCGCAUGGUUCGAAAUUGAAAGGCGGCUUCGGCUGUCACUUAUGGAUGGACCCGCGUCGCAUUAGCUAGUUGGUGAGGUAACGGCUCACCAAGGCAACGAUGCGUAGCCGACCUGAGAGGGUGAUCGGCCACACUGGGACUGAGACACGGCCCAGACUCCUACGGGAGGCAGCAGUAGGGAAUCUUCCGCAAUGGACGAAAGUCUGACGGAGCAACGCCGCGUGAGUGAUGAAGGCUUUCGGGUCGUAAAACUCUGUUGUUAGGGAAGAACAAGUGCUAGUUGAAUAAGCUGGCACCUUGACGGUACCUAACCAGAAAGCCACGGCUAACUACGUGCCAGCAGCCGCGGUAAUACGUAGGUGGCAAGCGUUAUCCGGAAUUAUUGGGCGUAAAGCGCGCGCAGGUGGUUUCUUAAGUCUGAUGUGAAAGCCCACGGCUCAACCGUGGAGGGUCAUUGGAAACUGGGAGACU